rnacentral:lncRNA from 1 species
UCUUGGUCUAGAUCAGUCGUCUAGUGCAGUAUUUGUAGCAGUGUAGUAAAUCUCUAGUAACAGUUCAAUCGAGUUGGUCUUGGUCUAGAUCAGUCAUCUAGUGCAGUAUUUGUAGCAGUGUAGUAAAUCUCUAGUAACAGUUCAAUCAAGCUGGUCUUGGUCCAGAUCAGUCGUCUAGUGCAGUAUUUGUAGUGGUACAGUAAUAAUGAUGAUACUAUAUAUUGUCAUAUAUAGACCAGUUAAGAGAACAACUGAUUUGAAUGAAGCCAUUCAGAGUCCAGUGUGGACUGAAGACCAGCAGGCGACCCCCCAGGAACAGAUCGAUACUCAUUAUUACUAUAACACUUUUAAUCACUGUCGGUCACUGAGCUCGACACAGGUGCGACGCCCGUGGGUCAGACCCCAGCUCCUGACAUCUGAUCCCUGACUGCAGUGACGCCCUGAGAGGGUUCGAAUCCUCUGGGUCGGCUGCCAGCGAGAGCUGGGGCACUCUCGCACUUACACGCUCUGGCACAUUCACUUGUGCACACACUCACACACUCAAACACACUCGCUCACACUCACACACACUCGCUCACAUGCAAGCACACUCAAUCACACUUGCUUAUUCAUUCUCUCACUCACACUCUCGCACUUACACACUCAGGCACAUUCACUUGUGCACACACUCACAGACUCAAACACACUCGCUCACACUCACACACGCUCGAUCGCAGUCACACUCAAGCACAUUCAAACACACUCGCUCACACUCAAGCACGCUCACUCGUGCACACACACACUCGCUCACACUCGAGAAAACUUGUUCACGCUCACAUUCAGACUCGCUCACACUCACACUCGCUCACAUGCAAGCACACUCAAUCAAUACACACACACUCUCCAUUCACACUCACACAGAGCACACUCAAUCAAUACACACACACACUCCAUUCACACUCACACAGAGCACACU